UACGAAGGGGGCUAGCGUUGUUCGGAAUUACUGGGCGUAAAGCGCGCGCAGGCGGUCUUCCAAGUCAGUGGUGAAAGCCCGGAGCUCAACUCCGGAACUGCCGUUGAAACUGUAAGACUUGAGGAUGAGAGAGGUGAGUGGAAUUCCCAGUGUAGAGGUGAAAUUCGUAGAUAUUGGGAAGAACACCGGUGGCGAAGGCGGCUCACUGGCUCAUAUCUGACGCUCAGGCGCGACAGCGUGGGGAUCAAACAGG
rnacentral:rRNA from 1 species